rnacentral:rRNA from 1 species
AUUGAACGCUAGCGGCAUGCCUUACACAUGCAAGUCGAACGGUAACGGGCCUUCGGGUGCCGACGAGUGGCGAACGGGUGAGUAAUGCAUCGGAACGUACCUUUCAGUGGGGGAUAACGUAGCGAAAGUUACGCUAAUACCGCAUAUUCUGUGAGCAGGAAAGCAGGGGAUCGCAAGACCUUGCGCUGAUUGAGCGGCCGAUGUCAGAUUAGCUAGUUGGUGAGGUAAAGGCUCACCAAGGCGACGAUCUGUAGCGGGUCUGAGAGGAUGAUCCGCCACACUGGAACUGAGACACGGUCCAGACUCCUACGGGAGGCAGCAGUGGGGAAUUUUUGGGACAAUGGGGGCAACCCUGAUCCAGCCAUGCCGCGUGAGUGAAGAAGGCCUCGG